UCGACUUUUGAUCUCCUCUGUUUUGAACGAAUUAGCAGAGAACUGUUGCGACGAAUUCAAAUAAUUAGAGAAACUGCUCUACUCGUAAUAUUCAGCGAAUUAGAGAACGAAGCUGCUCGUCACCUCCAUUGACAACAAGUGCUCAUCUUCGAGUUUCUUCUCAUCAAGAUUAUGGCACCUGAUAAGCAAUGGAUGAAACUUAUUCAUGAUCGACUUGAUAACGCUUACAUACUUGGGGUUGAGAACUUUCUCGAUUAUGCUUUUAAAAGAUUGGGAGAAACAUGCAAAAUACGUUGUCCAUGCAUCAAAUGCUUAAUGCAAUUUCAGGAACACGUGAGUUGGUUAGGUCACAUUUAAUAGUACACGAAAUAGUCCAAAAUUAUACCAUUUGGUAUCACCAUGGGGAGAGAUUAGGUGAGUGCUCUUCAGAUUAUGAAUUUGUAAAUGAUAAUAUCAUUGAAGAGGGUGAUGGUGAGGAUGGAAUACAUGAAAUUUUAAGAGAUUUAUAUCCCACUUUUGAAGGAGACAAUAUGAACAAUGAUGGUGAUGGGCUGUUUGAGGAGGAACCAAAUAUUGAAGCAAAAAGAUUCUAUAGGAUCUUAAAAACUUUUGAGCAACCAUUGUACUAAGAUUAAAAAGUUUCUAAACUUUCUACUUUGGUAAAGUUGCUUCAUAUCAAAAGUAUUGGUAAUUGGAGUAAUGCAUCAUUUACAAUGCUGUUGAAUCUCUUGAAGGAAGAUUUAUUGUAGGAUGGAUCCAACUUGCCAGAUUCAUAUUACGAAGCAAAGAAGGUAAUUCGGCACCUAGGGCUUUCUUACAAGAAGAUUGAUGCAUGUAAGAAUGAUUGCAUAUUAUACCGGAAGGAUGAUAAGUCUCUUGGGUCUUGCAAAGUUUGUGGUGUAUCUAGAUGGAAGGAGGAUAAACAUAGUGGGAAAACCAAAUUUAAAAGUGAGAAAAAGAUACCAUACAAGAUUUUACGUUAUUUUCCUCUAAAGCCAAGACUGCAAAGAUUAUUUAUGUCCUCGAAAAUAUCUUCUCUGAUGAGAUGACACCAUGACAAAAGAGUUUAUGAUGUAAUAAUGAGGCACCCAGCUGAUUCAAUAGCGUGAAAAACAUUUGAUGAACUUCAUCAAUCGUUUGCAUCUGAGCCUCGUAAUGUUCGACUUGGACUUGCUAGCGAUAGUUUUCAUCCAUUUGGAAAUUCCAAAACUCCGUAUAGCAUUUAGCCUGUGGUACUUAUUCCUUAUAAUUUACCACAUUGGCUAUGUAUGAAGAAAAAAAAUUUUAUUUUGUCGAUGAUUAUUCCUGGUCCUGAGAGUCCUGGAGAUGCUAUUAAUUUUUAUCUCCAGCCUUUGAUAGAGGAAUUAAAGGAAUUGUGGGAAUCUGGAGUGGAGACCUUUGAUGCGUCAACUAAACAAAAUUUUAUGUUACAUGCAUCUUUAUUAUGGACCAUUAAUGACUUUUCCGCAUAUGCAAAUUUGUCUGGAUGGAGUACAAAAGGAAAACUAGCAUACCCAUGUUGCAAUAAAGAAACUCACUCAAUUAGGUUACAAAUUUAUAAAAAAUAACAGUGUUAUAUGGGUCAUAGAUGCUUUCUUCCUCUUAAUAACAAAUGGAGGAAUGAUAAAGCGUCAUUUGAUGGCACUAAGGAGCAAAGAUUACCACCAAAACAGUUAUCUGGUGAUGAUAUACUUGAUCAAGUAGUUGAUUUAGAUGGGUUACAACUAACAAAGGAUCCAAAGAAGAAAAUUAAAAUAUCACAUGAGAGUAGGGGUGAUAAUUAGAAUAAGAAGAGUAUGUUCUUUGAUCUCCCAUAUUGGAAAACUCUUUUAUUGCUGCAUAACUUAGAUGUAAUGCACAUUGAGAAAAAUAUAUGUGAUAAUAUUUUGGGGACAAUCUUAAAUAUCAAAGAAAAAACCAAAGACACCAUAAAGACUCGGUUGGAUUUGCAAGCAAUGAACAUUAGGAAAGAAUUGCAUCCAAUAAAAAUUGGGGAUAAAUAUGACUUACCAACAGCAUGUUAGACAUUAUCUCCUAAAGAGAAGCACAGGUUUUUUAGUUUCUUGAAGAACUUAAAGGUCCGAGAUGGAUUUUCAUCAAAUAUUUUCCAGUGUGUCAACCUUAAAGUUCUCAAAAUUUCAGGUUUUAAAAGUCAUGAUUGUCAUGUUCUUCUACAACAUUUACUCUCACUUGCUCUACGGGGUAUGCUAUGCAAAUCUGUGUGUGAACCGCUUAUUGAGUUAUCUUUGUUUUUCAACGUGCUUGGAUCAAAAUAUUUAAGUGUGGAUAAAUUAGAGCAGAUAGAUGCCCAAAUCCCAAUAACUGAGUGCAAGCUAGAAAAAGUCAUCCCUCCUACAUUUUUUGAUGUCAUGGAGCACUUGCCAAUUCAUUUAGCUAAUGAAGCUAAGAUUGCUAGACCUUCUCAAUAUCGAUGGAUGUAUCCAAUAGAGCGAUAUAUAUACUUUAUGAAAUCAUUUAUUCGUAAUAGGUCUUGCGCAGAAGGUUCUAUUGCAGAGGGAUAUUUAGCAACUGAAUGUAUGACCUUAUGUUCAAGGUAUUUACAUACAAUGGAAACAAAGUUUAAUCGCCUUGAACGAAAUUAUGAUGGUGGUAUUAUAGAAUCUGAUGGAGGUUUAACAAUUAUUUGUCAACCCGGAAGAGCUUUAAGAGGUGGCAAACCACAUAAACUUGAUUCAAAUAAACUGGAGCAAGCACAUUUUUAUAUUUUGAAGAAUUGUGAUGAAAUUCAACCAUUUCUCGAGUUAACAUGAAUCCAUUAAAAUAUCAGAAAUCUAAAAUGGAAUCAAGUUCGAAGACUGUUAAGCAUGUGUACGUUCCACCUGGUACCUUAGUAAAGGAACGAGGACGGAGCUUCAGAGCAUUGGGUUCUGUAAGAGUAAAUGCUGAACAACGAGGUUUGAUUGGCAAAAGUAAAGCUUUUAAUGUAUUAGCUUUUGAUCUGAAUAAGGUAACUCAUAAUGAUAGUCUUGCACCUCCUGGUUUUGAUCAAAUAUUUGAAGGUGAUACUCUUUUUCCUCAUGAAGAAGAAGAGCGGCAGGGCACUCACAGAAGUGAAAUAAGGCUUUGUGAAUCUGAAAAGGUAAAAAAGCUGAGAGGAACGAAUUGGUGUAAAAAUAUUGCAGGACUCAAAGUUGGAGAAAAUAUUGCGCCUCCUGGUUUUGAUCAAAUAUUAGAAUGCGAUACUCUUUUUUCUCAUGAAGAAGAAGAGAUGCACAGUACCUAGAGAAGUGAAAUAAGGCUUUGUGAAUCUGAAAAGGUUAAAAAAACUGAGAGGAACGAAUUGGUGUAAAAAUAUUGCAGGACUCAAAGUUAGAGAAAAUUUUGUGCCCCCUAGUUUUGAUCAAAUAUUAGAAUGUGAUACUCUUUUUCAUCACGAAGAAGAAGAGAUGCAAGGCACUCAGAGAAGUGAAAUAAGACUCAAAGUUGGAGAAAAUGUUGCGCCUCCUGGUUUUGAUCAAAUAUUUGAAGUUGAUACUCUUUUUCCUCAUGAAGAAGAAGAGAUGCACGACACUCAUAGAAGUGAAAUAAGGCCAUGUGAAUCUGAAAAGGUAAAAAAACUGAGAGGAACGAAUAGGUGUAAAAAUGUUGCAGGAAUCAAAAAUGGAGAAAAUGUUGUGCCUCCUGGUUUUGAUCAAAUAUUUGAAGGUGAUACUCUUUUUCCUCGUGAAGAAGAAGAGAUGCAGGGCACUCAGAGAAGUGAAAUAGGGCCAUGUGAAUCUGAAAAGGUAAAAAAAGUGAGAGGAACGAAAAGGUAUAAAAAAGUUGUUGGACUCAUAGUUGGAGAAAAGUUGCCCGUCAUUUUCUACCACAAUAUUUUCUACCACAAUAUUGGUUUGUGAUCGUAAUAUAUGCCUAUUGUGUGUACACUCACGACAGACAUAGAAGAAUAAGUUACGGUAAAGAUUUAAAGCAUUACUUUCUUGA